UGGGUUAGUCGAUCCUAAG
rnacentral:snRNA from 1 species